rnacentral:rRNA from 1 species
GCAUAUCAAAAAGCGGAGGAAAAGAAACCAACAGGGAUUGCCUCAGUAGCGGCGAGUGAAGCGGCAAAAGCUCAAAUUUGAAAUCUGGCGUCUUUGGCGUCCGAGUUGUAAUUUGAAGAAGGUAUCUUUGGGCCCGGCUCUUGUCUAUGUUCCUUGGAACAGGACGUCACAGAGGGUGAGAAUCCCGUGCGAUGAGAUGACCCGGGUCUGUGUAAAGUUCCUUCGACGAGUCGAGUUGUUUGGGAAUGCAGCUCUAAGUGGGUGGUAAAUUCCAUCUAAAGCUAAAUAUUGGCGAGAGACCGAUAGCGAACAAGUACAGUGAUGGAAAGAUGAAAAGAACUUUGAAAAGAGAGUGAAAAAGUACGUGAAAUUGUUGAAAGGGAAGGGCUUGAGAUCAGACUUGGUAUUUUGCAUGCUGCUCUCUCGGGGGCGGCCGCUGCGGUUUACCGGGCCAGCAUCGGUUUGGAGCGGCAGGAUAAUGGCGGAGGAAUGUGGCACGGCUUCUGCUGUGUGUUAUAGCCUCUGACGAUACUGCCAGCCUAGACCGAGGACUGCGGUUUUUACCUAGGAUGUUGGCAUAAUGAUCUUAAGUCGCCCGUCUUGAAACACGGAC